CUGCUUUUGUGCUUUAGCUUAUGUGCUUCAAACAAGCUUUCAAUUGUUUUGUCCUUCCUUUAGCUUUUGUAGCUUUUAUGUUUCUUCAAGUCGGAAUUCGAAAAAAGCUUGGACCAAUCUCGACGAAGAAGAAGAGACUCUGAGCAAAUGUCUCACCUUUUGCAUCAACUAUAGUCUCACUCUUAUGGAUCUCGUCUCAAGCUGGGAAAUUUAUUACCUUAACAGAGCAGGUAAAUAGCCAUUAAAGCCUGGAGUUAUAGUUUAUGUCACCAAAAGUGCAUUGUAAAUCAAUUCGGUGAACACCGAUUUUCACCACCAGAAACCAAACACAUAACUUGCAGCAACUUUUGAUUUCCUCCUUGGCGAUGCUAGCAACUUUUAUGCAAUAAGUUUCUUAGCUAAAAGUAAGGGAGUACCAAUGGUGACACUUUUUGAGAAGGUUCCUGACGGAAGUACUCUCCGAAUCUAUUUGCUUCCGGAGUUUCAGUUUGUCUAAGUCUUCUUUGUUUGAACAACACUUUGCAAUGUCUUCUCAACAGCAUGAUCUUUCAACUUUAAAGUUGGCUUAUGGGUUACAUCAUAAGAAAGAAGAAUAUAUUUAUUUGGCUUAUGGCUUAUGGAACAACACUUAUGAGUUUCAGUUUUAGAUUAUUUAUAAGUGUGGUGGAAUUUGCUUUCAAUGAAAGAAAUUAGCUUCUUCCUGUAAAAAUUAGUUUCUAUUUGAUGACAGACUAACAUGUAAAAUAAUUAUUUACCUUUAAAAGUUAAUUAUGAGAA